GAUGAACGCUGGCGGCGUGCCUAACACAUGCAAGUCGAGCGAACAGAUGAGGAGCUUGCUCCUCUGACGUUAGCGGCGGACGGGUGAGUAACACGUGGAUAACCUACCUAUAAGACUGGGAUAACUUCGGGAAACCGGAGCUAAUACCGGAUAAUAUAUUGAACCGCAUGGUUCAAUAGUGAAAGACGGUUUUGCUGUCACUUAUAGAUGGAUCCGCGCCGCAUUAGCUAGUUGGUAAGGUAACGGCUUACCAAGGCAACGAUGCGUAGCCGACCUGAGAGGGUGAUCGGCCAAACUGGAACUGAGACACGGUCCAGACUCCUACGGGAGGCAGCAGUAGGGAAUCUUCCGCAAUGGGCGAAAGCCUGACGGAGCAACGCCGCGUGAGUGAUGAAGGUCUUCGGAUCGUAAAACUCUGUUAUUAGGGAAGAACAAAUGUGUAAGUAACUAUGCACGUCUUGACGGUACCUAAUCAGAAAGCCACGGCUAACUACGUG
rnacentral:rRNA from 1 species